rnacentral:misc_RNA from 1 species
UUUCCGUAGGUGAACCUGCGGAAGGAUCACUAAUAGGAUUGAGUGAGGGAUGGGGGGGGGGAUGUUGGUGGAGGUGGAGGUGGAGGUGGAUAUGUGAGUGGUAAAAUUAAAGUGUUAGUAUGAAAGUGAUAUGUAAUAUGUGAGUGGUAAAAUGAAAGUGAUAGUAUAAAGGUGAUAGUAUAAAAGUACUAGCAUGUUUGUAUCAUCACCCCCAUUUUACCAUCAACAUGUUAUCACUAACACACUACCAUCCAUCACCAUCCCCAUGACACACCCAUCUGCCUUUCACCAGCUUGCUUGUCUGACUGUAUGUGGUGAGUGAAGAAUGACAACUUUUAACAAUGGAUCUCUUGGCUCUU